UACAGAGACUGCAAGCGUUAUUCGGAUUCACUGGGCGUAAAGGGUGCGCAGGCGGCCAAGUGUGUGAGGCGUGAAAGCCCGGGGCUUAAGCCCGGAAUUGCACCUCAAACUACAUGGCUAGAGCAUUGGAGAGGGUAGCAGAAUUCAUGGUGUAGCAGUGAAAUGCGUAGAUAUCAUGAGGAAUACCAGAGGCGAAGGCGGCUACCUGGACAAUUGCUGACGCUCAGGCACGAAAGCGUGGGGAGCAAAAGGG
rnacentral:rRNA from 1 species